UACGUAGGGUGCAAGCGUUAAUCGGAAUUACUGGGCGUAAAGCGUGCGCAGGCGGCUUUGCAAGACAGAUGUGAAAUCCCCGGGCUUAACCUGGGGACUGCAUUUGUGACUGCAUGGCUAGAGUGCGGCAGAGGGGGAUGGAAUUCCGCGUGUAGCAGUGAAAUGCGUAGAUAUGCGGAGGAACACCGAUGGCGAAGGCAAUCCCCUGGGCCUGCACUGACGCUCAUGCACGAAAGCGUGGGGAGCAAACAGG
rnacentral:rRNA from 1 species